GAUGAACGCUAGCGGCAGGCUUAACACAUGCAAGUCGAGGGGUAGUCUAGCAAUAGAUGAGACCGGCGCACGGGUGCGUAACGCGUAUGCAAUCUACCUUUUACAGAGGGAUAGCCCAGAGAAAUUUGGAUUAAUACCUCAUAGUAUAACGACUCGGCAUCGAGAUGUUAUUAAAGUUCCAACGGUAAAAGAUGAGCAUGCGUCCCAUUAGCUAGUUGGUGUGGUAACGGCACACCAAGGCAACGAUGGGUAGGGGUCCUGAGAGGGAGAUCCCCCACACUGGUACUGAGACACGGACCAGACUCCUACGGGAGGCAGCAGUGAGGAAUAUUGGUCAAUGGGCGCAAGCCUGAACCAGCCAUGCCGCGUGCAGGAUGACGGUCCUAUGGAUUGUAAACUGCUUUUGUACAGGAAGAAACACUCCCUCGUGAGGGAGCUUGACGGUACUGUAAGAAUAAGGAUCGGCUAACUCCGUGCCAGCAGCCGCGGUAAUACGGAGGAUCCAAGCGUUAUCCGGAAUCAUUGGGUUUAAAGGGUCCGUAGGCGGGUUUAUAAGUCAGUGGUGAAAGCCCAUCGCUCAACGAUGGAACGGCCAUUGAUACUGUAGAUCUUGAAUUAUUAGGAAGUAACUAGAAUAUGUAGUGUAGCGGUGAAAUGCUUAGAGAUUACAUGGAAUACCAAUUGCGAAGGCAGGUUACUACUAAUGGAUUGACGCUGAUGGACGAAAGCGUGGGUAGCGAACAGGAUUAGAUACCCUGGUAGUCCACGCCGUAAACGAUGGAUACUAGCUGUUCGGAGCAAUCUGAGUGGCUAAGCGAAAGUGAUAAGUAUCCCACCUGGGGAGUACGUUCGCAGAAUGAA
rnacentral:rRNA from 1 species